rnacentral:rRNA from 1 species
UGGCGUGCGCAGGUUCUCCCGCUCUUGGGGAGUCACUACCUGCUAGGCUACGUCGACGGAUCGCUUCCCUGCCCACCCGCGCUGGUAGACAGCGUGCACGGUCCGGUCUACAAUCCGGCCCAUCGCGUCUGGACGGGGCAGGACCAGGCGAACCUCUCCUCCAUCCAGGGGUCGCUCUCGCCGGCAGUUGCCGGCCUUGUUGUCUUCGCGAAGACGUCUCAUGAGGCCUGGACCAUCCUUGAGCGCACCUUUGCAGCGCAGUCCCAGGCUCGUGUCUCUGCACUCCGUCGUCAGCUUGGAGAGUGUCAGAAGCUUGACUCCACUGCCACUGAGUUCUACAACAAGGUCAAGGGCCUCGCCGACACAUUGGCCUCCAUUGGACAGCCCCUCACCGACUCCGAGUUCAACUCGUUUAUUGUUAAUGGUCUUGAUGAGGAGUAUGAUGCCUUAGUCGAGAUCAUCAACGAGCGGGGCAACUCGACACCCAUGCUGGCACACGAGGUUUUCUCUCGGCUCCUUCUCACUGAGCAACGGGUCGAGACUCGCCGCACCAGGGGCACUGGCUCCCUCUCGGCCAACGCCGCCACCAAGGGUGGCCGCUCUUCUUCAUCACCCCGGUCUCCCUUGGGGCUGCCACCGUCGCCCGCCUCGGCCCCCCCACCUACUGCGACCUUACCGGGGGCUGGCGGUCCACGUGUGUGUCAGCUUUGUGGCCGCGAUGGGCACUGGGCCUCCAAGUGUCAUAAGCGCUUCCAGCGAAGCUUCCUUGGUCUUGGCAAUGACGGCAAAGAUACACGCAACAAUGCCCGUCAGGUCGCCAUGGCUGAUCGUCCCGCGCCGCAGAAGCAACAGGGACACACUCAGUCCUACUCCAUCGAUCCACACUGGUACAUGGACUCUGGGGCGACAAAGCAUCUAACCAGCAAGAUGGGGAAGCUUCACACUCGUGAACCCUAUCAUGGCUCCGACAAGAUC